rnacentral:rRNA from 1 species
UAAACAUUGACAGUAAACUACACCUACUGUCCGCCUGGGAACUACGAGCACCAGCUUAAAACCCAAAGGACUUGGCGGUGCUUUAGACCCACCUAGAGGAGCCUGUCCUAGAACCGAUAAUCCCCGUUAAACCUCACCCUUCCUUGUUCUUUUCAGCCUAUAUACCACCGUCGUCAGCUUACCCUGUGAAGGCCCAAUAGUAAGCGAGAUCGGCACUGCCCCAAACGUCAGGUCGAGGUGUAGCCUAUGGAAGGGGAAGAGAUGGGCUACAUUCACUGGUACAGUGAAUACGAAUGAUCACCCUGAAAUGGGUAUCUGAAGGAGGAUUUAGCAGUAAGCAAAAAAUAGAGUGUUUUGCUGAAGUUGGC